rnacentral:rRNA from 1 species
GAUGAACGCUGGCGGCGUGCCUAAUACAUGCAAGUCGAGCGAACGGACGAGAAGCUUGCUUCUCUGAUGUUAGCGGCGAACGGGUGAGUAACACGUGGAUAACCUACCUAUAAGACUGGGAUAACUUCGGGAAACCGGAGCUAAUACCGGAUAAUAUUUUGAACCGCAUGGUUCAAAAGUGAAAGACGGUCUUGCUGUCACUUAUAGAUGGAUCCGCGCUGCAUUAGCUAGUUGGUAAGGUAACGGCUUACCAAGGCAACGAUGCAUAGCCGACCUGAGAGGGUGAUCGGCCACACUGGAACUGAGACACGGUCCAGACUCCUACGGGAGGCAGCAGUAGGGAAUCUUCCGCAAUGGGCGAAAGCCUGACGGAGCAACGCCGCGUGAGUGAUGAAGGUCUUCGGAUCGUAAAACUCUGUUAUUAGGGAAGAACAUAUGUGUAAGUAACUGUGCACAUCUUGACGGUACCUAAUCAGAAAGCCACGGCUAACUACGUGCCAGCAGCCGCGGUAAUACGUAGGUGGCAAGCGUUAUCCGGAAUUAUUGGGCGUAAGCGCGCGUAGGCGGUUUUUUAAGUCUGAUGUGAAAGCCCACGGCUCAACCGUGGAGGGUCAUUGGAAACUGGAAAACUUGAGUGCAGAAGAGGAAAGUGGAAUUCCAUGUGUAGCGGUGAAAUGCGCAGAGAUAUGGAGGAACACCAGUGGCGAAGGCGACUUUCUGGUCUGUAACUGACGCUGAUGUGCGAAAGCGUUGGGAUCAAACAGGAUUAGAUACCCUGGUAGUCCACGCCGUAAACGAUGAGUGCUAAGUGUUAGGGGGUUUCCGCCCCUUAGUGCUGCAGCUAACGCAUUAAGCACUCCGCCUGGGGAGUACGACCGCAAGGUUGAAACUCAAAGGAAUUGACGGGGACCCGCACAAGCGGUGGAGCAUGUGGUUUAAUUCGAAGCAACGCGAAGAACCUUACCAAAUCUUGACAUCCUUUGACAACUCUAGAGAUAGAGCUUUCCCCUUCGGGGGACAAAGUGACAGGUGGUGCAUGGUUGUCGUCAGCUCGUGUCGUGAGAUGUUGGGUUAAGUCCCGCAACGAGCGCAACCCUUAAGCUUAGUUGCCAUCAUUAAGUUGGGCACUCUAAGUUGACUGCCGGUGACAAACCGGAGGAAGGUGGGGAUGACGUCAAAUCAUCAUGCCCCUUAUGAUUUGGGCUACACACGUGCUACAAUGGACAAUACAAAGGGCAGCGAAACCGCGAGGUCAAGCAAAUCCCAUAAAGUUGUUCUCAGUUCGGAUUGUAGUCUGCAACUCGACUACAUGAAGCUGGAAUCGCUAGUAAUCGUAGAUCAGCAUGCUACGGUGAAUACGUUCCCGGGUCU